CAGCAGUCGCCACGGUAAUACAGAGGGUGCGAGCGUUAAUCGGAUUUACUGGGCGUAAAGCGUGCGUAGGCGGCUUUUUAAGUCGGAUGUGAAAUCCCUGAGCUUAACUUAGGAAUUGCAUUCGAUACUGGGAAGCUAGAGUAUGGGAGAGGAUGGUAGAAUUCCAGGUGUAGCGGUGAAAUGCGUAGAGAUCUGGAGGAAUACCGAUGGCGAAGGCAGCCAUCUGGCCUAAUACUGACGCUGAGGUACGAAAGCAUGGGGAGCAAACAGGAUUAGAUACCCCGGUAGUCCCUGUCUCUUAUAC
rnacentral:rRNA from 1 species